UCAAAAGCGAUUGGAAAAAGGAGAGGGGUGCUAGGUGAAACCUGUCGGGACUCCAGUACUCUACGAAGAAGUUGGGGGAGUCUCGUCUCGACCUCAAGUCAGGAUAGCUAGUCGCAGCACUGACAGUUAAUAUAAAACCGCAAGAAAUCUCUCUAAUUUGCCUGAACCGCACAAUGAUAUGGGAUUUACAAAAAUGGGAGCGGAGGUUGCGCCUCAUGCAAGAUUCCUUGGCGUGGUGAAGUGAACUGGAUUGUCCAGGCGAGCCAACUGUCUAAAUUCCUAUUUGAUGGUAAAGAGCAUGAUGGUGUUCCUCCUGUGUGUUAGCCUGUGGAUGCUCCUGGCUGUUCAUGGCCAGGCUGGAGCUGUGAAGAACUGCCACCCAAGCUGCCACUGUGAGGUGGAGAGCUUUGGCCUGUUCGACAGCUUCAGCCUGACCAGGGUGGACUGCAGGGGAGUGGGCCCCAGCACCAGCCCCAUCCCCAUCCCCCUGGACACUGCCCACCUGGACCUGUCCUCCAACUCCAUGUCUCUGCUGACUGACACCAUGCUCUCUGGGCCUGGCUAUACCACCUUGGUCAGCCUGGACCUCAGCAACAACCACAUCUCCAUGGUCAGCCCCAAGGCCCUGUCCAGGCUGCGCUACCUGGAGUCUCUGGACCUCAGCCACAACUCCCUGGAGGGCCUGGACGAGGGCUGCUUCUCUGGCCUCCCCCUGGCCAAGGUAGACCUCAGCCACAACCACUUCCGGGAGUUUGACCUGGACAUGUUCCUCACUAAAGGUCACGGAGAGCCAAUCAGCGUGGAUCUGUCCCACAACCAGCUGACUGUGAUCUCCAGGAGUUCCUCUAGGAGCCCCUUGCUACAUGUCCAGAGCCUGACUCUAGCAGCCAACCAGCUGAGGGCCGUGCCCAAACUAAAAGGCAUCCCGCUGAGGAACCUAAGCCUGGAUGGGAACAUUAUCUCCCGCAUUGAGGAGGGGGCCUUUGAGGACCUCAAGGACCUGGUUCACCUGUCCCUCAGUGGGCUUCCUGAGCUCUCUGACAUCCAGCCUUACAGUUUCAGUGGCCUACAGAGCCUUCAGGUCUUGGACCUGUCCAACAACGCCAAGCUAAAGACACUGAACCCAGCUGUGUUCAGUGGACUUGUGUCUCUACAGGAGCUCAAUCUGUCCAACUCUGGAGUAACGUCAUUUCCAAAUAAUAUGCUAAGUCACUUGCUAAGCAUCAAAAGUAUUACCCUGGGCCAGAAUAUCCAUUGUUGGAGGGCUCAAAAGCAUGGGCAGUUUCACAGGCAGCUUGGACAGGAACAGAAACAUGACGAGGUGCUAACCUGUGAUGUUAAAGGCAUUAUGUCGUGAUUGUGUUGGGAUCGUUGCCUUCAGUAUGGACAUUUAGCUAGCACAUUAGUGCUAAAACUGUGCCUUAUAUCACUAUAUGCAAAGAACACGUUUUGUUAUUGCCGCUAAACAUGAUAAUUACUAUGAUUAUUUUGUAAAAAAUAUAAUUAUUAUUUUGUAUUUUGCUUUUAUUCCAAAGGCCUGAGGUAUUUAAAUUAACCCACUGUUGAUACACUAUCACGUCAUGCUUGCUAUGCAUAAAGCAUGUCUUUCAACUACAGUAACAAGCUAGCAAUAGCAUUGAUGGAUAUUAUCUUAAAACCAUUUAGCUUUUCCUCUUUCAAUUUUGAAGGAGUUUUUAUGAUCUGGAACUAAAAAAAGAUACCUCAGCCACUAGGAAACAUAUUGUUAUAUUCCAUAACAAUCAUCAGAUCGUUGAAGUAUACACAUUACUGUGGAAGGACCACUCUUAUGUCAGACCAAAAGGAGAGCAUUUCCACUGUGCUCAGGUGAAGCGAAGAAACCACAAGAAUAAAUUUGCCCUUUUACGGUUACCUCUGCUGGAGUUGAAAAUUGGGGCAUGGAAGACCUGAAGGGUUGUUUUCUGUUUCCAGUGAGAGAGCUAGAGCGAUACGAUCAGAAACACAAUCAGCCAUCUCAAGACGUCAGACAUGACUCUAAACAGUCAGUAAACGACCCACUGUAGCAGGUCCUGAGGGGAAAUUGGCUACACUGCCCUAUUUCAUGUAGGAUUGUUUAUCACCUUUUGCACAAUAAUACAGCUACAACGAGGGAGGGAAGGAUGAAUAGAGGGGAGGAGGAUUGGCAAACCCUUCUUCUCACUCACACGGACUGUGGGAAUGAUACAGCACCCGAGCAGGAUCAUCUCUGAUUGAUGUGUCUGCAGCGAACAUGCAAAGAACCAAGGCCAACGAUUCUCCCUUCACUGAAGGUUUUCUUCAUCAACACAAAAGCAGAGUCACUAUCAGCAGCCUAAACCAAGCUCUAGCCUUCAAAUGGGAAUGAACAACAGACUGGUAUGUAGUCGAUUUGUAAGUCGCUCUGGAUAAGAGCGUCUGCUAAAUGACGUAAAUGUAGACUGUUUGGGUAUGGUGACAAACCUGUUCUGACCUACUGUUCUCUAAAUAUAACUAUAAAAACCCUUUUUAUGGUCUCAACUGACUCUCUGAAAAAAGUAAUCAUCCGGAAUGUUCUAUUUGCAUGACGAUGUCAGUAGUGUUAUGACUUUGAACAUAGGCAAAGUGGCAAAUAAAAAUGUUAUUCAUGACCCUAUGAGUUUGUUACACAGGUGACUCAUUGCUGCCUGUGAUCAAAUAAUAAUGUAUUUGUGCAUGAUAAAGCAGAGCUGAUAAUGUUAAUGUAAAUGUAUUAAGAUAAUCCACUUUGCCUCUGUGACUAAGGCCUCUGUAAUACCCUCUUCAGUUCAAGUCAAAAGUCAAAGCCCUAUUUUUGGGAAAUAAAUGUAAUGUACAACUCA